GAGAGCCGGAUGUGGGAAAACCACAAGUCCGGUUCGAUAAGGGGACGGGGUUCGGAAGAGCCCCUCCUACUUUAC
rnacentral:ncRNA from 1 species